GGACGGGUGAGUAAUGUCUGGGAAACUGCCUGAUGGAGGGGGAUAACUAUUGGAAACGAUAGCUAAUACCGCAUAAAAUGGAUUAUCGCAUGAUAAUCGAUUGAAAGGUGCAAAUGCAUCACUACCAGAUGGACCUGCGUUGUAUUAGCUAGUUGGUGGGGUAACGGCUCACCUAGGCGACGAUCCCUAGCUGGUCUGAGAGGAUGACCAGCCACACUGGAACUGAGACACGGUCCAGACUCCUACGGGAGGCAGCA
rnacentral:rRNA from 1 species